ACCCUAGCAGCCGUCACUCCUUCACCUUUUCAUUCUCAAACACACACUCUCUCUCUAUCUCUCCCAUCCGCUGCUCUUCCUCUCUGCUUCCUCAGUUGAUCUCUCCCUCAUUCUUCUCUUCCUCCCUUCAACUCUCCUUCCUCUCUUCCUCUCUCCAACCUGCCAAGUCCAUGGUUGUAACAUGGACUUACCUUUUCAAAGGAUUACCACAAGAGGUAUAGGGUUUGUGAUGAAUUUAUUUGACAAUGCCCAUUUUUUCCCUCUCCAAAUCGUAUGCCUCUUAUCUCUCUGCUCCUCGUCUAAUAUUCCUUGCUUUCUCCAUAAACUUUCGAUCUCUGCUUUUCAAAUACAAGCCAAAUAGUUUUUUAAUCUGGGAUUCAUAUGGAGGUCGCACGGUCCAGACAUCCAUCUUUGUUCCUCUGGAUUUCUUUAAUAGUGCUCGUGGCCGGAUGUUACAAUCGGCGAGGCGUCGAUUGGUUGAUGGCGAGGGUUUGUGCUAGUAGGGAUGCUCGGCGGCGGAUGCUGCAGUAGAACCCUAGGUUUUCUUUUGUUGUAUUUUAUGGCUUGGGCCUCUGUAUUGUUUGUUGGAUCUAUUGGGCUAGUUUGGCAGGUCCUCUUUUGGGCUAGAUUACUAA